rnacentral:rRNA from 1 species
CCUACGGGAGGCAGCAGUGGGGAAUAUUGGACAAUGGGCGAAAGCCUGAUCCAGCAAUGCCGCGUGAGUGAUGAAGGCCUUAGGGUUGUAAAGCUCUUUUACCAGGGAUGAUAAUGACAGUACCUGGAGAAUAAGCUCCGGCUAACUCCGUGCCAGCAGCCGCGGUAAUACGGAGGGAGCUAGCGUUGUUCGGAAUUACUGGGCGUAAAGCGUACGUAGGCGGUUAUUCAAGUCAGAGGUGAAAGCCUGGAGCUCAACUCCAGAACUGCCUUUGAAACUAGAUAGCUAGAAUCUUGGAGAGGUGAGUGGAAUUCCGAGUGUAGAGGUGAAAUUCGUAGAUAUUCGGAAGAACACCAGUGGCGAAGGCGACUCACUGGACAAGUAUUGACGCUGAGGUACGAAAGCGUGGGGAGCAAACAGGAUUAGAUACCCUGGUAGUCCACGCCGUAAACGAUGAUAACUAGCUGUUCGGGCUCUACGAGCUUGAGUGGCGCNGCUACGACAUUAAGUUAUUCCGUCCGUCGGGGUAGGUACGGUCGGCGAACGAAUUAAAACGUUAACGAAAGAAAGUUAGUACGGACGUGAGACGUCGCCGACGGACGACGACGAGGGAGGAGG